CUGCCUUAGACAAAGGAUGCGCCGGGGCCCGACCACACCUAAAGCCACGCUUUGAAGGAUGUGCCAAGCUCACUUUUAAUCAUGAGAAAGAAAUUACCCACAUGGAGUCAGCAGAAAAUGAGAAAGUAGAGCUCGUGCUGCGAAUAAUUCCAGCAAGUGCCAAGGGGCUAGUUGAGGAAUGGCUUCAUGAAG
ensembl:misc_RNA